GUGCUCACCUCAGUAGCACAUAUAGUAAAAUUUGAAUGAUACAGAGAUGAUUAGCAUGGCCCCUGAGCAAAAAUUACACUCAAAUUUGUGAAGUGUUCUAUAUUUUU
ensembl:snRNA U6 U6 spliceosomal RNA